CCAGCACCCCGAGUUGUCGGGACGAUUAUUGGGCCUAAAGCAUCCGUAGCCUGUUCUACAAGUCCUCCGUUAAAUCCACCUGCUCAACAGAUGGGCUGCGGGGGAUACUACAGAGCUAGGAGGCGGGAGAGGCAAACGGUACUCAGUGGGUAGGGGUAAAAUCCAUUGAUCUACUGAAGACCACCAGUGGCGAAGGCGGUUUGCCAGAACGCGCUCGACGGUGAGGGAUGAAAGCUGGGGGGAGCAAACCGGAUUAGAUACCCGGGUAGUCCCAGCUGUAAACGAUGCAGACUCGGUGAUGGGUUGGCUUCGCGCCAACCCAGUGCCGCAGGGAAGCCGUUAAGUCUGCCGCCUGGGGAGUACGGUCGCAAGACUG
rnacentral:rRNA from 1 species